rnacentral:lncRNA from 12 species
AGCCAAAAGUUACGUAAUUGGUUAAAGUAAUUGCAGGCCAUUUCUGGGUAAAUCCUUUCAAGGCUUGGUUGAACUGUUUCAUGUAAAUUGUUCUAAAUAAGAGCUGGGUUCUGUGGUUGGGAUCGGAGAAUCUGUUGAACAAGUCAGACAUAGAUCUUGUCAUUAUGGAAUUCACAGUCCAGUGGAGAACACAGAUAAUUAAGCAGAUACAAUACCAUGUGGUUAUUGCAGGUGAAUGAACUCAUAUAUGACAUGUGGAAUAGCAGGUCAGAAAAGCUGUGACUCUUUCAGUUUUGGCUCCAAGUCCAAGUUAUGUUUCUUACACUACAUGGCCUCUUUUGUAUGGUAAUUACUUCACCAAAUUAUCCAGUACUGACCUAUCUGUGAACCUCAUUUUUUCUCUUUUUCCCUUCUUCUCAGGAGCGUGUGUGAUGAAAGCAAAAUUAAUGACAGAGGCAGGCACAACCAAGCCUAACUGCCAAAAUUCAAGAAUCCUAGUGAAGCAUGGAGACAUGGAGAGAUUAUGGCUUCUUUUUGGGGAUCAAAGGAAAAUGAGAAGAAGAACUCAGCUAUACACCUGGAUCAACUCUUGAUGUAAGUGAGAACAAGACAACUUUUCAGGAUCUUUUCUGAAGACAAUUUCCUUAAGUCUUAUAAUUCCGGAAGCUGCUACUGCUAAAUAAUGGGCUAUUGAUUAGAAAACCUCCAGAUAAGAGAAGAGUAGAUGGAACCAUUGCCUGGUACAUUAAAAAGCUUCAUGAAGGCAGGGACAAUAAGAUACUUAUUUUUAAAAACCCAAGCCUAAUAUUUAGCACACUGUAGAUCUCAAUAAUAAGGGUAAAAAUCCCUUAAAUGAACAACCAAAGUACAUCCCAGGAUUGCUCUAAAUAGAAAUCUCUGAAAACAGCAAUAUAGACAUUGGCCAAGCGGGAAGCAGGAGAUAAAAUAUUAUGAUGAUUUUGUUUUGGUGUAGUCCCAAUAAUUUUUUUGUUUCUCUUGCCUGAAGAAACACAUCCAUAAAUAUGUUACCAAGGCUUAUGUCUAAGAGAUUAAUGCCUAUAUUUUCUUUUAGAAGUUUUAUGAUUUCAGGUCUUAUGUAUAGGUCUUUAAUCCACUUUGAGUUCGUACGUGUGUAUGCUGUAAAGCGAGUUGUCUAGUUUCAUUUGCAUGUAGCUGUCCAGUGUUCCCAACACCGUUGUUGAAAAGAU